CUACGGCUGCUCUAAUCAUCGCAGUCUGCAAACAAGAACCUGUGGGAUCACCUUUCACAUGUUUAAGGCAGUGGGAACUCGCCCUAAGAAGAGACGGUUUUGUUUCCUGUGACAGGACACUGCUCUGCAGUGAGCACUUCAGGAGUGAGGAAUUUGACCGGACAGGGCAGACUAAUGGCGAAUCGCUACCACUAGGAGCAUAUAUCGCCACCUACUAUGUAUUUAUUAAAUCUUCAUGUUCCAUGAGACGCAGCACUAUGUUCCCCACAUAUGUUUAUGUUUGCUCAGUCUAAUAAACCCAUAACAUGGUUGUGAAAGAAUACCAAA